rnacentral:rRNA from 1 species
UCGAGAAUUUUUCACAAUGGGGGAAACCCUGAUGGAGCGACGCCGCGUGGGGGAUGAAUGGCUUCGGCCCGUAAACCCCUGUCAUUUGCGAACAAACCUCAUGGUUGAACAGAUCAUGAGCUGAUAGUAGCAGAAGAGGAAGGGACGGCUAACUCUGUGCCAGCAGCCGCGGUAAUACAGAGGUCCCAAGCGUUGUUCGGAUUCACUGGGCGUAAAGGGUGCGUAGGCGGCAGGGUAAGUUUGAGGUGAAAUCUCCGGGCUCAACCCGGAAAAUGCCUCGAAUACUAUCCUGCUGGAGGAUCGGAGGGGAGACUGGAAUUCUCGGUGUAGCAGUGAAAUGCGUAGAUAUCGAGAGGAACACCAGUGGCGAAGGCGAGUCUCUGGACGAUUCCUGACGCUGAGGCACGAAAGCCAGGGGAGCAAACG